rnacentral:rRNA from 1 species
GACGAACGCUGGCGGCGUGCCUAACACAUGCAAGUCGAACGGACUGAUUUGAGAGCUUGCUCUUGAUGAAAGUUAGUGGCGGACGGGUGAGUAACGCGUGAGUAACCUGCCUUUCAGAGGGGGAUAACAUUCUGAAAAGGAUGCUAAUACCGCAUAACAUCUUAGUAUCGCAUGGUAUUGAGAUCAAAGGAGCAAUCCGCUGGAAGAUGGACUCGCGUCCGAUUAGCUAGUUGGCGGGAUAAAGGCCCACCAAGGCGACAAUCGGUAGCCGGACUGAGAGGUUGAACGGCCACAUUGGGACUGAGACACGGCCCAGACUCCUACGGGAGGCAGCAGUGGGGGAUAUUGCACAAUGGGGGAAACCCUGAUGCAGCAACGCCGCGUGAAGGAUGAAGGUUUUCGGAUUGUAAACUUCUGUUCUUAGUGACGAUAAUGACGGUAGCUAAGAAGAAAGCUCCGGCUAACUACGUGCCAGCAGCCGCGGUAAUACGUAGGGAGCGAGCGUUGUCCGGAUUUACUGGGUGUAAAGGGUGCGUAGGCGGCAGAGCAAGUCAGGCGUGAAAGCCAUGGGCUUAACCCAUGAACUGCGCUUGAAACUGUUUUGCUUGAGUGAAGUAGAGGCAGGCGGAAUUCCCGGUGUAGCGGUGAAAUGCGUAGAGAUCGGGAGGAACACCAGUGGCGAAGGCGGCCUGCUGGGCUUUAACUGACGCUGAGGCACGAAAGCAUGGGUAGCAAACAGGAUUAGAUACCCUGGUAGUCCAUGCCGUAAACGAUGAUUACUAGGUGUGGGGGGUCUGACCCCCUCCGUGCCGGAGUUAACACAAUAAGUAAUCCACCUGGGGAGUACGGCCGCAAGGUUGAAACUCAAAGGAAUUGACGGGGGCCCGCACAAGCAGUGGAGUAUGUGGUUUAAUUUGAAGCAACGCGAAGAACCUUACCAGGUCUUGACAUCCGACUAACGAAGUAGAGAUACAUUAGGUGCCCUUCGGGGAAAGUCGAGACAGGUGGUGCAUGGUUGUCGUCAGCUCGUGUCGUGAGAUGUUGGGUUAAGUCCCGCAACGAGCGCAACCCUUGUCCUUAGUUGCUACGCAAGAGCACUCUAAGGAGACUGCCGUUGACAAAACGGAGGAAGGUGGGGAGGACGUCAAAUCAUCAUGCCCCUUAUGACCUGGGCUACACACGUACUACAACGGCCAUCAACAGAGGGAAGCAAAGCCGUGAGGUAGAGCAAACCCCUAAAAAUGGUCCCAGUUCAGAUUGUAGGCUGCAACUCGCCUACAUGAAGUCGGAAUUGCUAGUAAUCGCGGAUCAGAAUGCCGCGGUGAAUACGUUCCCGGGCCUUGCACA